rnacentral:rRNA from 1 species
GGGGAAUAUUGGACAAUGGGCGCAAGCCUGAUCCAGCAAUGCCGCGUGUGUGAAGAAGGUCUUCGGAUCGUAAAGCACUUUCGACGGGGACGAUGAUGACGGUACCCGUAGAAGAAGCCCCGGCUAACUUCGUGCCAGCAGCCGCGGUAAUACGAAGGGGGCUAGCGUUACUCGGAAUUACUGGGCGUAAAGGGCGCGUAGGCGGCGCUCCAAGUUAGGCGUGAAAGUCCUGGGCUCAACCUGGGAACUGCGCUUAAGACUGGAGUGCUUGAGGAUGGAAGAGGGUCGUGGAAUUCCCAGUGUAGAGGUGAAAUUCGUAGAUAUUGGGAAGAACACCGGUGGCGAAGGCGGCGACCUGGUCCAUUACUGACGCUGAGGCGCGACAGCGUGGGGAGCAAAC